rnacentral:lncRNA from 1 species
GCCCAUUGACUAUGUUGCAUUCAUAGUUGCAGUGCGGAUAGAUUGAGAUAUGAUAUGGCUCAGAGAUUGUAACUUCAAGAGUUCUCAAAUGCCCCUGAGACACCCUUGGAAUCUUGACAGAAACACAGAACCUGAGUCUGCUGUCCCUGACCUGCUGAAUUCAAAUUUUCACUGUCACAAAAUCCACAGGUAAUUCUGAUGCAUUUUGAAAUAUUGGGAGCUAUGGCUAGAGAACCUUUCACUGAUACUCCUGAAUUACCUCGCCU